UAACAUUAAGAAAUUCUAUUUAUUUAUUUAUUUAUUCACUUCACAUCCAUGGAUCAUUAUACAUGACAUAGGACAAGUCAAAACACUCUAUAAUCCAAUACAACGAUACAAUAAGACAAUACAAUGAUACAAUAAUAGAAUAAUAAGAAGAACAAUAUAAUUUUAUACUAAUAUAAUAAUUAAAUGAUGAGCACUAUAUUUAUCAGUCACAACACAUCAAAUUUGAAAAUAGAUUAACGACAUGUUUCGGCUAUUUAGCCUAUUUAACCUAUUUUCUGUGUUCAUUCAUUGCACUAAUUCAAGCUCUGACAUUCUCGUGACGGGUCACUAGAACACACAGAGACACUAAUAGACGCCACUCAGAAAGAGACUUCAGUAGAUCAACAGCGACAGCUGUGAAAUGCUGAUAUGCAAGCGUUAUCAAACCAUACUGAGGUUUCUGUCCACUGCUGCCACGGCAAGCACACAGUGACGAGUUUGUGAACUUCAUUGUCAGACCUCAUACCAACCUUUUUAUGGAAAAUUUUCACCUGUUGGUCACAUCUUCCAUAUUUUCUCAGAAGGGAUCCCUUUACAAAGUAUGUACGAAUAAAUUUGUAAAGAAUCCAUACAUUUGGAUACAUGAGUAAGGGAAUAUUUAUCAUUAUACUGCUUAUUUAAUGGGAAUGUAGGAUCAACAAUUUUUCCGCAUAAACAGGGCAUUGUGGAGUUAUGUUGCAUUUGUGCCUCAGGGGUUCAGCUACCACUGGAAAUGUACGAGCUUCAUGCCACCUGUGAUGGCACCAGCAUCAGGCUUUGUUUACCAAGUGGACCAGGACUCAGGAUGGUUAGUUAGGACCUCAGGAACUGUCCUGUCAUGUUCCUGUCCCAGCUUGUGGUAUGUACGGCAGCAUGAUCACUCCACCCAGACCCAGCUGUUACUGUGCUGUCCAUUGGUUUGUCCUAAUCUGAAAUGUUUCUGUAACAGGUGUUCCAGCACCACUGGCUCAGGUGAGCAGCAUCCCAGUCUCCGCUGAGAUGAAUAGUGACAGAGUUGUAUGAGAGGCUGGUGACAGCAGGGAUUCUUCCAUAUGGAAAAGCUGAUGCAGAUUGUAAAAACAAAGAAGAGGCUAAUUCUACAAAACCUGUGGACUUCAGUCAGGCUGAAACAUUAAAUAUAUGUCAGCCUGGUUUAGUGGCUCUCCUGCAUUCUGGCAUUCCCUGUAGCUCCUGUGGCAUUUGUUUCCCUCCAGAGGAACGUAUGAAAUACAGGCAGCAUUUGGAUUGGCAUUUCCGUCAGAACAGGCGUCUGAAGGACAGUGGUGCCAGUCAGAAUAGAGGAUGGUAUUUUAGUGUCUCAGAUUGGAUGCAGUUUGAGGAGAUUGAAGAGUCAGAGGAAACAGAGGGCUGCAAACGUGGCAGAUACGGAGGUUGAAGAUGUUCCCAGUGUUUCUGCAGGAGAGAAUCCUGAUGACAAAAUUUGCUCAAUGUGUGCUGAUAAAUUCAAAAAUGUUUUUAAUGAUGAAGAAGAAGAAUGACAACUGCUUGGGGCAGUAAGAAUAGAUGGAAAGACGUUUCACCCCCUUUGCGGUGAAGAUUACGAGAAAAAUGUAUAUUCACCUACUGGUGCGAUGCCACCUCCGUCCGAUCUGGAAACACUGGCUGCAUAAAUUGCAGACAAAACAGAAGAAUCAACAGAUGGUAAGCUUAAAUGCCAUAAUGUGUCAGGCUAAUGUGAAAGCAUACGUCUUAAUUCCAGUAUUUGAUUUUUGAAAAUCGAGAACACAACUAAGUGGAAACAUGAAAGGAAACAACCACACUGAACAAACUUUUAUAUGGCAUAUGGAUCUACUAUAAGAAGAAAAGCAAUUUAUGGAAGUGAUAUUAGUAUAUUAGGAUGAUUUAAUUUAUAGGUCUUAGGUGCCCAAAAUUUUAAUUUUGUUCAGAGUACUGUCGAUUUUACUUUGUGUCAUAGGGUUACUCCUGUACCAGACUACUGGCACACCAUCCCAGAACACAUUAAGCUUCAAAUCACUCUGUUGCCGAGUACAAACUGGAAAUUGUUGCACAAAAAUGAUAUUCUCAUGCAAGUGUUUCUUCAAACCAGCUGUGUGCUAUAUUUUACUGAUCUUGGUCUCACUUUGCACCUGACUGGCCGUGAAACUUUCUGCCAAAUUCUUUCAUAGCGGUUAAAUAUUUGCUAGUUCCCAUCAGUUCUUUGGUUUUUGGUAACAGUGUUGUCACCAGGAGGUGGCAUUGUUGUUUUAAAAUGUUUCGGUAGAAAACUGUAUAAUUAAUUUCUCCUUAUGUUACUACAAUUUUCCACAAAAUGGUUUCCCAUUUCUUUCAUGCACUUUAUAUCUUAUUCAGCGUAUGUUUAGUAUUGGGCAGUUUAUAGCUCCACUUUUUUUAAAAUUUAAUUUUGUUUGAAUGUUUAUGUAAACCAUGCAGUGGUUGUCUGUAGUAUUAGUUCUUUUGGCGUUUUACAUUCUGAUGGUGCUAGAUGUCAAGUUCAGCGUUCAUAUUCAGUUUGUACUGAUCCAAUUUUCUGUGACUUCCUGUAUGAUGGGGGGGGGUCAAUAUAAUUUUGCUUUAAUUAAAUGUUUUUAUUGUUAUAUAUAAAAGUUUAUAACCUUUGUUUGUGCAAAUAAGUUUUGGAAAAGAAUAAAUAUGUUUUACAUGAA